ACUUCAAGAUAAGAUUUCCCACCGCAAGGGUAAGACCCCAGAAAGACUAUCUGGUUGAUAGGUCGAAGGGGUAAGUGCAGCAAUGUAUUUAGCUUAUCGAUACUAAUAGGUCGAGGACUUGACCAAUAUU
rnacentral:rRNA from 1 species